rnacentral:misc_RNA from 1 species
AAGUCGUAACAAGGUUUCCGUAGGUGAACCUGCGGAAGGAUCAUUAACAAAUCAUCCAAAAUAACCAUGUGUCAAUGUCUUCUUUCCCUUGGUGUGUGGUAGUUGUUGGAGAUGUCGAAGCAGUAGUAGUAAUAUAUAUAAUAUAUUAUUCACUCUUCAUUCUCUCCUGUCUCUCCCCACUCAAGGGAAACGAUUGCUUAUUUAAUGACUAUCAAUAUGACAGCCUUAGAUCACAUUAUUAUUAAAAUUUUAAACAACUUUUAACAAUGGAUCUCUUGGCUCUU